UAAUCACCAGCACCGAACUGACACUACACUCAACUGACACUCCUAACUUUGCUUAUAUGGCUUUUAAUCCAUGUUUAGCCCCAACACAUUUUAAAAGGGCAUUGGAUGUCAAUCAGAUCAACCAAAGGCCUGGUUAAAAAUGAACCUUUUUGCCUGGCACCUAAAUACUGAAGGUGCCAGGUGAACUUUCCUGGAGAGAGCAUUCCACAGACGGGGAGCCACUGCAGAGAAGGCCCGUUCUCGUGUUGCCACCCUCUGGUUGAAAAGCCCAGAUCUUGCAAUUUCGUCAAUAGUGUUGGUUUCCAUUUGGAUUGAAAUGGGUCGAUCAGAGUCAGUGGGGCAAGACCUAUUUAGGGGCAUUUCAGUCUCCUUCUUCCAUUGGUGAGCUAUCGCUAGUCGUGCUGCGGUCGGUAAGAACCUUACUAUGCAGAAUUUGCUUCUGGACUUUGAAGGAUGAGCUCCUUGAAAGACUGGACCAUGACAGUUCAUUCUGCACACAUUGUCACGGAUGCUCUCGGCAAGCUUCUUCUUUUGAGCCAAGUUGGUGUUACAGCAGGCUAUUUUGUGUAAGCAUUUUUAAUGACUCUUAGUUCCUAUCAACUCUUUUCAAAGGUCAAGCUAUUCUUCCUUGAACAACAGUAAGUGUGCUUUGAAAUGCGGUGUGUGUGUGUGUGUGUGUGUGUGUGUGUGUGUGUGAUGCAGGAAGUUCGUGUUUUUUUCUAAAAUCUUGAAGUUUUUCUUCUUUUUUUUAAGCUCCUAGGGGUUUUCCAAUAAUUGACAAGCAACUAAGCAGUGGCAUGGAAAAAGCUUUUAAAGGUUAUUAGUUAUUCAGGAGUGCUGCAAAAGGGCAAUUUGGUCUUCAUUAGCAAGACAGUGUAAAUUGGAAAAAUGCUCCAGCCACUCAGAUACACUUUUAAAUAUAUCCAUGUUAGCAAGAAAGACCGCUGUCUGCUUAUUCAUGUUUGAUUGUCUUUGAUUUCACCUCAAGGUCUUGCCAGCCAGCUUGUAGAAGAUGACACUAAUGAAGGCAUAUUCUUCAUGUAUCACAGAGGGAGGCCUCUGCUUAUAUUAGAUUAUUAUUCUGCUCACACAGAGAUUAAUUUGAAAAACAUCAGCUUUUCUCAGGAAUACUUAGGUGCAAACCAUGCAUCGCAAAGUUAUUUGCAGUUAAAAAGCAAAACAACCUGCAAAUUGGAGCUCGGGAAGAUCUCGUGAAAAGAUGCCAUUUAAUCCUAUUCCCUUCCACAAGCAGUUCUUGGACCUACAGAAGGAAAAUCUAGAGCUGUUGGAGCAUCCCUGUAUCUUUCUCCUCACAGGGGAAAGGGAAGUUUGAGAGGAAUGGUUUUCACCUGAAAAGGAACCAAAGGGCAAAUGACUGAAUUGCAUCUUCCACCGAUCUUUCUACCACUCAGACCACACCUGGAAAACUGGUGACCCUCUAGAAGUUGCUGAAUUCAACUUCCAUCAUCCUGGAUGUGAGUUAAGGUAAAGAUAAAGGGACCCCUGACCAUUAGGUCCAGUCGUGGCUGACUCUGGGGUUGUGGCGCUCAUCUUGCUUUAUUGGCCGAGGGAGCCGGUGUACAGCUUCCAGGUCAUGUGGCCAGCAUGACUAAGCCACUUCUGGCGAACCAGAGCAGCGCACGGAAACGCCGUUUACCUUCCCGCCAGAGCGGUACCUAUUUAUCUACUUGCACUUUGAUGUGCUUUCGAACUGCUAGGUUGGCAGGAGCAGGGACCGAGCAAUGGGAGCUCACCCCGUUGCGGGGAUUCGAACCGCCAACCUUCUGAUUGGCAAGUCCUAGGCUCUGUGGUUUAACCCACAGCACCACCUACGUCCCGGAUGUGAGUUAGAGUCUUGCAAAAUCUGAAGGACCACAGGCUUCUCAACCCUGACAAAGUCUUCCCAGUGCUGGUUUGGGGGCUCACCCACAAUUCCAUUGGGUCUUUGACUUCUAAGCAUGACUCCAAGAGACUUUUCUUUGGUCCUGCUGCUUUGCCCAGAAAAUCCCGUCAUUUGCUGCUGAACCAGAGCAAAUGUCAAUCAGGUUUUCUGAGGACUGACAUCUGUGCCAUGGACCAAAUAUAUAAGAAAUCACGGAACAAAGGUAGUGUAGGUGAGCUCUGAGUUGAAAACAAAUCCACAGAUAAAAUAAUCCCAGAACUGUUCAUAACUGUCAGUUUUAACCUAUAUAAUGUUGAUUCCAAACCCAACACGAGGGUGGGGAGGAGAGGCAAGGAAACGAAUGCUAGAAACCUGUGGGUGGUUGUGGGGAGAGAUUAAACUGAGAUGCGUAGGCAUAAUAUCAGCAAAAAAAAAAAAAAAGUAGAAAUAGUUACAAAACUAUAUUUCACUGGUUUCUUUUAUUCUUUGGAACACAUGCAGCCCCGGAAUCUCCCUGCUGGUAAGGGAGUGCACUACCUGAAGUUUGGGAAGUAAUUUAUGAAUUUAAAAAAGAAAUGCUAAUAAUCUGUUUGCAGUGCAGCUCAGUUUGACUCAUCCUAUAUUCUGACACACAAGAGGGUAGCAACAGAGGUGAAUUUAGGGGAGCACGACUGGUUCGGUUACACUGGGCACAAAGCCUUGGGGGAGCUGCAGGGGGUGCUGCAAUAUCUGUUGGGUACCACACUGGGAAGGCUGCCUUGACAUUCCUAUACACAUGCUGAUUGUAUAAACUCACCCAGUGUCUAAACAGUGCCUCAAAACAUCCGCCUCUGAAGGAGAUGUUAACAGGAGUGUUAUAAAUUAAAUGCAAUAUGUCCUUCAAGCAGAAUUUAGAACUGACUCUGGUUGUGAAUAUGGUAUGUAAUUUCUUCCUGACACCUUUCACUGAAGCCCUCCACCCAAUGGUUUAUUUCCAGUGUCUCCAUUCAGAACAAGUUGCUUGACCUCGCAUUUAGAAGGUCUGUCAUCACCUAAAACAGUUCCUUUUCAUAAAGCGUUCGCAAGUGUACAUUGCUGAGCUUUUAGCAGCAUUUCAAACAAACCUGUGACCUGCUGACCUACAGGUGGAAAGACUAUCUAUAAAUUUGCCCAGGGACAGGCAUUUUGUUUUACUUGGCAAUGCUUCCCACUGAAUAUUAAAGAGCCAGAAUUAAGUGAGGUCAGCAUUGUGCCACCAUGUGCCCCCCCCCGCUGCCAUUCAAACCUUGUUAAUCUUGCUCGACUAAAAAGCUGGAAACUGAUGCUAUAAAAACAGGAAUGCUGUUGCUAACAAAAAGUAGCAUGAGCCAAGGGUUUCGAUCCAUGUCCGGAGGACAUGGAGGGAUUAUACGAACCUUGAAGCAAUUAGUUAAAUUGUCUCCCUUCUGGUAAAUUCCAAAAGACAUUAUUAAUUGAACUGCUGGUCCCUAUUAAAGAGUCCAGCUAUUCAAGGACCCUGACAGCGUGCCUGAAGACAUUCCUGAAAUAUAUCUUCAGCUUUAGGAAAGACCAUUUAGCGAAAAUCAAUGUCUGCCAAGUUCAUAUUUACCAAAUGUAGCUGAAUGCAAAAGGAGGUACUAACUUCUACAUGUUUGGCAAAUAGUUCUCAAUAUUGACUAUUCCUGAACAAAGCUGAGGAACUGAAUGACUGGAGAAAGUUGGGGGCUGAUAUAUGCAUUGAGGCAGAGAGCCAGAGCUUUAGAUUUCCGGAUUUACUGGAUUAAUUAAACAAAUAAAUUACCGUAUUUUUUGCACCAUAGGACGCACCGAACAAUAGGACGCACUUUGUUUUAAAGGGGGGAGAACAAGAAAAAAAAAAUCUCCCCCUCUCUGCUCAGCGCCCCUUCCGCAAAGCGGCAGGAGGUGCUGCGCAGAGAGGGGGAGAACUUUCCCCCUCUUGUUUUCCCGCUCUAAAACAAGGUGCCGUGUAAGGUGCGUUCAGGCGGCUACCUUGGACGCAUGGAGGGCGUGAGGGGUGGGUGUGCCCAGACCCCUCUCGCUCUCCAGGCUUCAGGUUCCUUUCGACCUGCUCUUUGGAGCUGGCGGGGGGAAGCCCACCACCAGCCCCAAAGAGCAGGUCAGGGAGCAGCGGAAAGGCGCAGCGGAGAGGCUCCUGCCAUAGCCGCGCGUCACCUCUCCAGCCGGGAGAGGGUUGUGGGGUGCUUCUUUAGCCCCGCGCGCACUCUCCCGGCUGGAGAGGUGACGUGCGGCUAUAGAAGCUCCUGCCAAACCGCGCGUCACCUCUCCAGCUGGGAGAGGGUCGCGGGGCUAUGGUGUCUUCGCUCCAUAGGACGCACACACAUUUCCCCUUCAUUUUUGAAGGGGAAAAAGUGCGUCCUAUAGAGCGAAAAAUACGGUAAACACAUCCAAAAGUACACAACUAAACUGAACUAUUCCCACCUAAAUUCAUGAUAAGGUCUAAAAAUGAAGAUACAAAAAUGGAAUAUCAAGAACAGAAACAAAAGCCUGCAAUACUCCCACCCUAAACAAUACACCUUUUGCAUUAUGGUGCUGGAGGAGACUCUUGAGAGUCCCAUGGACUGCAAGAAGAUCCAACCUAUCCAUUCUUAAGGAAAUCAGCCCUGAGUGCCCACUGGAAGGACAGAUCCUGAAGCUAAGGCUCCAAUACUUUGGCUACCUCAUGAGAAGAGAAGACUCCCUGGAAAAGACCCUGAUGUUGGGAAAGAUGGAGGGCACAAGGAGAAGGGGACGACAGAGGACGAGAUGGUUGGAUGGUGUUCUCGAGGCUACUAGCAUGAGUUUGACCAAGCUGCAGGAGGCGGUGGAGGACAGGAGUGGCUGACGUGCUCUGGUCCAUGGGGUCACGAAGAGUCGGACACGACUAAACGACUAAACAACAACAACAAACAAUACACCAGUCCAAGAGUUCAGCUUUUGUAGCUGGAAUCAGUUGGAAGGAAUGAGUUUCUUUUUGGGGGGGGGGAGUUCAAGUUCAAGAAAAAGAAAUGAGAGAAGAAACUGAUUUGUCUUACUGUGGAGACUACUGAUUAUGCCUUUGUGUUAAUGUCUACAAUGCGGAUUGAUCCCUUUGCUCAGCUGUUCUGCUUGGUUAGUUAACAAGGAAGAAUACUAUUGUUUCACUGGAAUACUGGCCCUGAAGAUUCAUGGCAACAAGUUUUUUUUAAAAAAACAUUUAAUUCUUUGUAUAACCACCAAAGCCAUGCUACCAAGAAGACGAUCUGUUGUUUUCCAUAUAAGCAAGGAGAGCAAUUAUCUUUGCAUGUGCCCACUGGGUUUUUUGAGAUGCUUUUCCAUGAACGCAAACCUCUGCUUCGCGGCGGAGUGCUGUGUACAUUAGGCAACGGAUGCAGCAGCAGGCAACAGAGUGCCCUGGCAAAGGAGAAAACUCAUUUUGCUCGGUGUGGUCCCUCUUCUCGAGAAGAGCAAUGUUUGUGCAACACGGCUCUGGUUGCUGGGAAGGGAAAGGAAACCACUGUGCACAUCUGCUCAGAUUUGGAAGCGCAGCUCUUCCAGAUGUCCAGCACAAAUAUUACAGAAGCCAACUUUGCAUCCCAAAGGCACAAUAAGUAAGUCCUGUGACUGGCCACUUCAGCAGUAGGCUUCUUCAGAGAUUCUUCACAUUAGAGCCACAGUUUUAAAUUGCUUAAUUAACAAGGUUAAUCAUUUAACUGCCUUCUGAUCUGCUGAAAAGUGUUUCAGAUUGAUAUGGCAAUGCACUUUUAAAAUAGAGCACCUUUGCAAACACUGCGGACAGCAGGUGCCAUUUUGGAAGAAACAUACUUCCAUCACUCUCACAAGAAGGGAAACCUGUUCUCAAGCUGCUACCUUUUAUACAUAUGUAUAGUGGGAUGCAGGUGGCGCUGUGGGUCUAGGACUUGCUGAUAGGAAAGUUGGCGGUUCGAAUCCCCGCGACGGGGUGAGCUCCCGUUGCUCAGUCCCUGCUCCUGCCAACCUAGAAGUUCGAAAGCACGUCAAAGUGCAAGUAGAUAAAUAGGUACCGCUCCAGCAGGGAGGUAAAUGGGGUUUCCGUGCGCGAGAUGAGCACCACAACCCCAGAGUCGGUCAUGACUGGACCAAAUGGUCAGGGGUCCCUUUACCUUUACCUAUACAUAUGUAUGCAUUAUGUUUGUUUGUUUUUUUACUGCAACACUUUGGUUUCAAAAACCACACGAUAACCCAUGGUGGUUAUAUACAGUGUAAGUAUAGAUGGAAUUUGCUGCAAUAGGUGACAAAGCAGUGCAAUCUUCUACUUUUUGGUGGUAGAAGUGGGAUCCACUACAUUUGGCUCCUGACAUUUGGCUUUAAGAGAGAACUUGGAUGAGAUUCUUCCUCUGGUCCAAACUGUGGUGGUUUAAUAAACCCAACUGAAAAAUAGUCAUGUAGAAAGUUAUGGAAACUACUGGAGUUCUGAUAAAUGGCUGGGAUAUUCAGACCACAUACAUCUUGUUCUCGAGUAUCAUCCUUGAUGCUAACAGCCUCCCCAAGUCAUCCUCAGCAUCCUUUAUUCUACAUCACAUAAGCAUGGGAAUGUAAUUACUCACCCCAGCUUCAAUAAAUAUUUCCUGAAUACAUGUACUAGAUAUAUUACCAUUGCUAAUACAGUUUCAAAAAUUGAAUUUCAUUGGUGAGAUGGAGCUAAGCUGGUCUGGCUCCAGCCAGUGUCUACAUGGGAGCUUGCAUAGACACCCUAUGUACAUUGCCCUAGACUCUACAGCAGGAUACAACUUACAUGAAAUAAUUGACUAAGAAGAAAUAAAUAUUAAGAGCGCUGAUGUCACUGAAUCAAAAACUUAUCCUAUUGGCCACACUGCUAUAACAACCGAAUGAAGUCCAGCAGCUAAACGGACCCAUGAAAUGAUUGCUUUCCCAGAUCCUUGUUAUCCAUUCUCUUCAUUGUCUAUGGACUUUAUGCUAUUGUGAGAAUUCAGUCCUCAACCUGAAAUAGCAAGUCUUAGAAACACCUGAAGGGGGCUUUGCAUAAAAUAAAUUGUUGUGGUUCGAGGACCCGAACCCCGCGCAGUGGAAUGAAACACAAGGACACGUGAUAUAAGGUUAAUGGGCAAGAAAAGGCCACAACUUUAUUGAUUACAGCAGUGAAAAGGUAUUGGCUUAGGCAUUGGAUGUCUAAAACAAGGGGGUUUAUUCACCAGUAGGUGGAGCCUGUUGAUGCUAAUCCAACUAUAGGCUCUCCCCUGAUGUCACCGAGGGUCGUGCCAUGGCCUCCCGCCAAGCAGGCAUUGGACAGAAUACACGACCGCCGGAUUCCUUUAACGGAAUACCCAAAAACUGAAGGUGCAGGCGAUGGCCACACCUAGCCCUUCGACACCACAACACAUUAUUCCAAAGCCUAACCUACCCACCAAUACCACGAAAGUUGUGACGAUUGCUACGAGGUAGGCGAAAAAACCAAAAGGCCUAAUGCCAAAUGGAAAAAUUCCUACCAGGCCCCCCGGACAACCAGGGCGACCAACCUAAGGUCCAUAGCAAGGCCAAAAGAAAACUGGAAACCCUGCUCUAAGGGAGUGGAGGGUGGGUGACUCGUGACAGGAGGACAAAAGUGAGGGCUGGAGGCUGUCGCCGCAGCAAUUUAGGCUGCUGUACACACCCCCUUGAAGGCACCUGGUUGGGUGCCUGGCCGAGGGCGUGAGCGCCAGCCAGGUGGGUGGGAGGCAGGGGGCAAAUGCCCCCUGCUUGAGGCGGAUUCUGGCUCCCGGCCACAACCACUCCCCUCUCUUGCAGGGAGGAGAGUCUUUGGGAAGCAUCUGUAGGCUUGUAGAGGAGAUAGGCAGAAGGUUAAGGGCAAAGUGCUGGCCCCGGAGAAUUAAUCAAGCAUCUUCCUGUCCAAUAAAGCCAUGGAGACAGACAUAUGAUAUUCUUUUGGAAUAGUCCUAAGCUGGAGAUGGGAAAGGCAAGCCAAUGAUAUUAUUUAUUGGAGUCCUGGAGUGUGUCUUCUACGAAAACAUAUCGUGGGGCAACUUGGUGAAAACAAAAGGGAGAUGAAAUGCUUGGGUCAAGGCCCUGAUCUCAUUUUUUGACAGAAUUACAAGCCUGGUAGAUGAAGGGAAUGCAGUGGAUGUAGCCUACCUUGAUUUCAGCAAGGCAUUUGACAAGGUGCCUCAUGAUAUUCUUGUAAAGAAGCUGGUAAAAUGUGGUCUUGACUAUGCUACCACUCAGUGGAUUUGUAACUGGCUGACUGACCGAACCCAAAGGGUGCUCAUCAAUGGUUCCUCUUCAUCCUGGAGAAGAGUGACUAGUGGGGUGCCACAGGGUUCUGUCUUGGGCCCGGUCUUAUUCAACAUCUUUAUCAACGACUUGGAUGAUGGACUCAAGGGCAUCCUGAUCAAAUUUGCAGAUGACACCAAAUUGGGAGGGGUGGCUAACACCCCAGAGGACAGGAUCACACUUCAAAACGACCUUGACAGAUUAGAGAACUGGGCCAAAACAAACAAGAUGAAUUUUAACAGGAGAAAUGUAAAGUAUUGCACUUGGGCAAAAAAAUGAGAGGCACAAAUACAAGAUGGGGACACCUGGCUUGAGAGCAGUACAUGUGAAAAGGAUCUAGGAGUCUUGGUUGACCACAAACUUGACAUGAGCCAACAGUGUGGCGCUAGCAGCUAAAAAGGCCAAUGCAAUUCUGGGCUGCAUCAAUAGGAGUAUAGCAUCUAGAUCAAGGGAAGUAAUAGUGCCACUGUAUUCUGCUCUGGUCAGACCUCACCUGGAGUACUGUGUCCAGUUCUGGGCACCACAGUUCAAGAAGGACAUUGACAAACUGGAGCGUGUCCAGAGGAGGGCAACCAAAAUGGUCAAAGGCCUGGAAACGAUGCCUUAUGAGGAACGGCUAAGAGAGCUGGGCAUGUUUAGCCUGGAGAAGAGGAGGUUGAGGGGUGAUAUGAUAGCCAUGUUCAAAUAUAUAAAAGGAUGUCACAUAGAGGAGGGAGAAAGGUUGUUUUCUGCUGCUCCAGAGAAGCGGACACGGAGCAAUGGAUCCAAACUACAAGAAAGAAGAUUCCACCUAAACAUUAGGAAGAACUUCCUGACAGUAAGAGCUGUUCGACAGUGGAAUUUGCUGCCAAGGAGUGUGGUGGAGUCUCCUUCUUUGGAGGUCUUUAAGCAGAGGCUUGACAACCAUAUGUCAGGAGUGCUCUGAUGGUGUUUCCUGCUUGGCAGGGGGUUGGACUCGAUGGCCCUUGUGGUCUCUUCCAACUCUAUGAUUCUAUGAUUCUAUGCUUUAUUCUGUAAAAUAUCCCAAUGCUUGGGAUAUUGCCCCGUUUCUUCUUAAGAUGUUGUGCUUCCAGGAAAAAUUCCCCAUGGGCUGAAAUGUCCCACCCCUGCCAUUCUUUCAUAAUAAAUAGGUCUAGAACAGGCACCCCCAAACUCAGCCCUCUAGAUGUUUUGCGACUACAACUCCCAUCAUCCCUGACCACUGGUCCUGUUAGCUAGGGAUGAUGGGAGUUGUAGUCCCAAAACAUCUGAAGGGCCGAGUUUGGGGGUGCCUUGUCUAGAAGGUGGAGGGAAUAUGUAACUAUAUCCCUGCUCAAUUUUUGUUCAACGUUUUUACCUGAGCCAGAAGACCAGUGGUUUAUCUAGCUGAGGAGUACAAAAGACUUAUGGACCUCAGACUUAUGGACCUAACUAGGCCCAUCAGGAUUCCCCAUGUGACCCACAAGGCCACUUUAGCCAAGCCAAGUCCACCUGCCCCACCCCUGAAAUCACAGGCCAUGUAUAGAUAUGCUGGGGCCAAAAGGGGGUUUGCAGGCACUGAUAAACAGAUGGUCAGUGAGGCCUGCAAAGCUUUCCAGGAUCUGAAGGUGGUGGUUCCCAGAUGUGUGGAUAGUGUCAUUAUAUGGUUUAGACACUAGACGGCACUGUGUUGUAUGUGAGAGGGAUCAGCAGCUUCCUGUGUCUAUCUUAUUCUUGCUGGAGACAGACAAUAACAUUCUUGUCUUUCCUCCUGACCAGUAUGCCCUCUAAACCUUCCAUGGUCAGCCCUGCUGAGCUGAAACCUGAGAUGUUUCAAACUAGAGAUACCAGGGACUGAACCUAGGACUCAAGAUUGGAAGUGAGGCCUUAUAUGCCCUGAGCUAUAUCAUCUCCCCCUUUAUUUUAUUUUAAUUUUUUGCCUAAUGUGUUUGCUGUUGCUGCUUGUGUUUCAGCGUCUGGCUCUAAGUGCUGCAGCCUCAUCUUUCAACAUAGUCCAAAAAUCUACUAAUAAAUUAUGGAGAGUUUAUGGGCUCAAUACAACCACAUUUAAUCACGAUCGAGUCCCAUUGAUUUCAAUGUGAAAGUUAAACACAUGCUUAAAUCUCUCUGAUUGACAUUAAUUGGAUUUGGAAAGUGUUUAAAUUUGGCUGGAUUAUUCCCUACAUUUGCAAGAUUAAAAGUAUUUAAAAGCCUGGAUGUCUGAAGAUUUGCCAAAGACCAAGACUAGGCAUAUUCUGGAAUCAGCAUUGAGUGGCACUGCUUAUUUAAUCAAGCCACCAGAAAGUCAUUUAUUUCUAAUUAUUUUAAGUAAAAACAAAUUUUGAAGCCUGUAUGUUGCUUCCAAAUGCAGAAUUCAUGUGCACACAACUAUUCUGCCGCGUCUAGUCAUUUGUAUUUUCUUCACUCAAAAAUCCAGCACCCUUCUCAGUCACAAACAUAUCUGGGGGGAAAAAUACCAAUUUUAUUUUAUGAAAAGCCAAACAUUUCCAACUUUCAAGGUGGUGCCAAAUCUUACAUCUGAAAUGGUAGCAAAGAAAACUUGGUGCCAUAUCCAAGUAAUGGGAAAGACACAUAACACUAGUCUGUACAAAGAGCCUAAUAUUGUAGCUACCCCAGUCAUAUGUCUCACUUAAGACAAUAGCAGUUGGUGAGAAGGGGCAGGACCCUCACACCUGACCUCCUGGCCGUGGAGUCCCUGUCAUUGUGGAGAGCGUAUUAACUUAUGGUCUGUGUGUGUGGUUUGGGAGCUGCACGGCCAGGGAAAAAACAAUGCUGUCCAGGGUUGUAAAGACUGCAGAGAGAAUAAUUGGGUGCACUCUUCCCACCUUAGAUCAAAUCUAUGCUUCCAGGUGCCAUAAGAAAGCGGCAGAGAUAGCGCAGGAUAGUACGCACCCCGGAAAUGAUCUUUUUCAGCUUCUGCCUUCUGGAAGAAGGUGUAGGGUUGUAAAGGCCAGGACUAGCCGCCUGAGAAACAGUUUCUACGCAAAUGCAAUUCUGGUUCUAAACGCAGCAUAAGGGGUCUUUAUAGUAUAGUGUAUUUUAAAAUGGGGUUUCAGAGUUUUUAGGGGUUUUUGAAUGUUUUAUGCAGUUUUUAUGUAGUUUUAUGUAGUUUUGUAGUAGUUUUAUGUAGUUUUGUAGUAGUUUUAUGUAGUUUUUCAAUUUCAUUGUUCUGCAUGGGACAAUGACAAUAAAGAUAUCGUAUAUCGUAUAUCAUUUGCUGGAAGUAGGCUAAGGCAAGAGGGAGGCAGGUUCAUCAGUGGGAGCUCUUGUGUCAAGGACUGGCUGGAUGAGGAGUAAUAAAAUAAUAAUAAUACAUUUUAUUUAUACCCCACCCUCCCCAGCCAAGACCAGGCUCAGGGCAGGUAUAAAAACAAUUGAUUAAAAUACAACUUAAAAACAAGAUUAAAAUACAACAUAAAAAUGCAGCUUCAUUUCAGUAGAAACUCAAAUCAAAAACUUUUGGGCGAUGAAAACGUCAAAUCUUCACCAAGGCCACCUAUCCAGACUGGUCCUACGUGGGCCAGAAAAAAGCCAGGGAAGUCCCCAAAUAGGAGUUCCAUCGCAGAAGGAGAAAGGAAAAAAGAAAGAGAGGGAGGAAAUCAAAUUGAUUCCAAGCCAAAGGCCAGGUGGAACAACUCUGUCUUAUAGGCCCUGUGAAAAGAAAUCAGAUCCUGCAGGGCCCUGGUCUCAUGAGACCACCCACCCAAGACCCCCCCUAGGGAAGGCACAGAAGAAGAUGAUUUAGAUCUUAGUGGUGGGACACUGGCCACACUUCAGAAGAGGCGACAAGCUGGGAGGUACUAGAAGCAGGAAGCUUGAGGGACUAAAAAAAGGUAGAAGAAGGCAGGUGGCCCAGCACAGGGCAGGGUGAUGAGGUUUGCAGUUCAGAUGCAUGCUCUGACAGAGAUGAGGAAGGGGAGCCAGACUCUCUCUCUCUCUCUCUCUCUCUCUCUGUCUCUCUCUCUGACUUGUGAAUGACCUACUCUUCCUGUCAGCCUUGUGACAGCUGGAUUGCUUCUGCUGGUACGCCAACACGGCACCAGCAUUUCCACCUUUUAAUAAUAAUAAUAACAAUAAUAAUAAUAAUAAUAAUAAUAAUAAUAAUAAUAAUAAUAAUUUUAUUUAUAAACCACUCUCCCGGCCAAGACUGGGUUCAGGGCUGCUAACAUCAGGUAUAAAAACAACUGAUUAAAAUACAACUUAAAAUGCAGCCUCAUUUCAGAUCAAAAACUGUUUGGGGGAAGAAAACGUCAAAUCUUCACCAAGGCCAACUAUCCAGACUGGUCCUAUGUGGGCCAGAAAAAAGACAGGGAAGUCCCCAGAUAGGGGUUCCAUCAUAGAAGGAAGAGGGGGAGGGGAUCAGGCUGAUUCCAAGCCAAAGGCCAGGCAGAACAACUCUGUCUUACAGGCCCUGCAGAAAGAAAUCAGAUCCCACAGGGCCCUGGUCUCAUGAGACAGAGCGUUCCACCAGGCCGGAGCCAGUGUUGAGAAGGCCCUGGUUCACCGCUCCCCCUCUCUCCCCUGCUUAGCAGCAGUGACUCUGCAGCUGGGAGGUCAAGUGUAGCUACAGGUUUUGUUAGCAUCCGUCUGCCUUGAGGGACAAUGGAAGAGGGUGCCAUGAGGGGUAAAGUCAAACCGUUGGAGAGUUACAGUGCCUGCUGUGGCUGUAGAGACCAAUAUGGGAGAGGCAUGUUUUAUUGCAGGCAGAUGAAGGUGAUUUCAGGCCGUUACAGCCUAAGGAUCAGUCCUUUUGCAGCAUAAUCCUAGGCAUGGUUACUUGGAGAUAAGCCCCACUGUGUUCAGUAGCAAUUAUUCCCCAUUGUUUAGGAUGGCAGCAUUAAACGUAUUAAUCUAGAGUAGGGAUGUAGAACACUCCCUCCCCUGCCAUGCUCUCCCCCAUGUGUCAUCUUCCAGAGACCACAGGAAGCAACUGAUGUGGUUCUUGCUUUUCUGUUGUAAGCAUCAUUCUAGCCACAGAAUAACCAGAGUUUUCUAAUACACAGACAGCAGAGGAGCCAACCCCCAUGGCAGGUUGCCAGGAAUGGAUAAGACAAAGAAAAGUGCUAACCAUCUUUACAGAGAGAGGUUUGAGAAUGCAGCCUCUUGGAAUAAUGGUGUUCUCCUGAGUAAAUCUCCACCCACUUUUUCUCCCACUUCCCCAUUCGUCAACAGCACCCCCCCCAUAUGGUUGCUGCUUAGGGCCAUCUGUCUCCAAGCUCUUUACUCUCAUACUUUUAAGGCUUGCCGGGUUCUGGAAGAUGGUGGGUCUGGAACACUUUCUCGUGAUAAUGUGUCAGCCAGCUGCUCCAGCUCUGCCUCUUCCUCCUCUCCCAUUAUUUCCCACCUUUCCCCCUCAUCUUCCUCUGAACUGUGACCUCCCUCAAACCCCUGUUAUAAUUCUGAACUGUCUUCUUCUCCUCUGGGUCAGGCUGGGGAGGCGGUCUCCACCAUUCCUCCUCGGCCCAGUCCCUGACACAUAUAUUCAUCUCUCUGUUCUCCAUCUAGGCAGACAAGAGGUAUUAUUGCAAUUCAAGCUCUCAUUCUAGGCUAGAAAAAGCACCCAAGAAGAGCGCAUAGCAGGAACAUGCUAGGAACAUGGCUUGGGGAGAGGGUAUAUGGCCCUGGUGGGAAGCAUACUGAGAUCCAGAUAGAGAGACAUGGAGCAUCGCUGCAUUUGAUCGCUAGGCCAGUUUGCUCUCCUAAGCUUAUACGAAGCAAAAGAAUCAAUCUUCACAUUUCUUGAACCCACCGCAACCUUCUGCAGAGCUCAUGGCAUGAAUAAACACGCAUAGAACUUCACUGUGAUUUCAUGGAGUGUGGGGUUGUAGCUUCUUCCAAAAAGUUGCAUUUUAAAAAGAAGACAAGAGAACGGCCAGGUUCACUGGUGGGAUAUGAUGUUCAACAUCUUUCUAGUCCUUCAGGAGGUCGCAACAUCAAACGUUAGAAGAAGCAGAAAGGGAAUGGAAGUAUCUCCUUAUCUGCUGUUUAAACUAUGAAUGAGAUAAUUUGAGAUCUAGCAUGUCGCAG